GACGAACGCUGGCGGCGUGCUUAACACAUGCAAGUCGAGCGGUAAGGCCCUUUCGGGGGUACACGAGCGGCGAACGGGUGAGUAACACGUGGGUGACCUGCCCUCAGCUCUGGGAUAAGCCUGGGAAACCGGGUCUAAUACUGGAUAUGACUCCAUGACGCAUGUUGUGGGGUGGAAAGCCUUGUGCGGCUGAGGACGGGCCCGCGGCCUAUCAGCUUGUUGGUGGGGUGAUGGCCUACCAAGGCGACGACGGGUAGCCGGCCUGAGAGGGCGACCGGCCACACUGGGACUGAGACACGGCCCAGGCUCCUACGGGAGGCAGCAGUGGGGAAUCUUGCGCAAUGGGCGAAAGCCUGACGCAGCGACGCCGCGUGAGGGAUGACGGCCU
rnacentral:rRNA from 1 species